rnacentral:piRNA from 1 species
UACCAAUCCUGACAUGAGGUGAAAUA